rnacentral:lncRNA from 1 species
GUUUUAACAGAACCAACAUUUUAGCUUGUUGAUGAAAUUGCUUCUAGCUCUGCUAGAGUGGUGUCUAUGUAAAUAAGCAGACUGAGACCUACUUCUGAUGAAUGUAGGAAAGGAAAUGCUUUCUUCUCAAUGCUAAAGUGAGCUGGAGACUUUCAUCUUUAGGGAUCAGCAUGACACUGAAGACAUUGAAGAAUAUGUUCAGGCUAUGGAUGUUCAGCAUUUGAUACAGUUACAAGUAUUUGGUUGAGAGGAGUCUGCACCUUCAGGUGGUCCCAGCUGUAGGUAAGUAUUACUGUUUACCUGAGCAACCUGAGCUGUUGUGUGGGAGAGGAAGUUUCAUUUUCCAUCUGAAUAUCUCUAUUGUUGUGGAUGGAAAUACUCUGCACGUGCUGGUGAGGAACAUUGUGCUCACCUAUUAACCAAUACAGCCUAGAUCUCUCAAAUGCUGCCUGUGCAACAGCAUUCUCACAAAAUUCAUUUUUCUCAAUUUUAAACAAC